CUACGGGUGGCACCAGUGGGGAAUAUUGGACAAUGGGGGAAACCCUGAUCCAGCAAUGCCGCGUGUGUGAAGAAGGCCUGCGGGUUGUAAAGCACUUUCGGUUGGGAGGACUGCUUCUAGCACUAAUAUUGUUGGAAGUUGACGUUACCUUCAGAAGAAGCACCGGCUAACUCCGUGCCAGCAGCCGCGGUAAUACGGAGGGUGCAAGCGUUAAUCGGAAUUACUGGGCGUAAAGCGCGCGUAGGCGGCUAGAUCAGUCGGGUGUGAAAGCCCCGGGCUUAACCUGGGAACUGCAUCCGAUACUGUCUAGCUUGAGUACAGGAGAGGAGAGUGGAAUUCCACAUGUAGCGGUGAAAUGCGUAGAUAUGUGGAGGAACACCAAUGGCGAAGGCAGCUCUCUGGCCUGAUACUGACGCUGAGGUGCGAAAGCGUGGGGCAAACAGGAUUAGAUACCCUUGUAGUC
rnacentral:rRNA from 1 species